UUUUUUAUUGGACAUGAUCAUUAAUUUAUCAUACACUUAGUGUAUGCAUGAAGGAAAAAAAAAAAUCUACUCAUAAUAUUGUUUUAUUUGAGGUAAUUUUAAGGGUACUUGUAAUAUGCCAAUUAAUUCAUUAUUUAUGUGCAUGCUCAUAUAUGAUUGUUGGAAAAUGACAGAUAAUCAGGAGAAAAAAUAGCUAAUAAAAAUAGUAGUAAAUA
rnacentral:lncRNA from 1 species